AUUGUACUGGCGAGUUUUGUGUCAACUUGACACAGCUGGAGUUAUCACAGAGAAAGGAGCUUCAGUUGAGGAAAUGCCUCCACGAGAUGCAACUGUAAGGCAUUUUCUCAAUUAGUGAUCAAGGGGGGGAGGUCCCCUUGUGGGUGGUGCCAUCUCUCGGAAGGUAAUCUUGGUUCUAUAAGAGAGAAAGCUGAGCAAGCCAGGGGAAGCAAGUCAGUAAGAAACAUCCCUCCAUGGUCUCUGCAUCAGCUCCUGCUUCCUGACCUGCUUGAAUUCCAGUCCUGACUUCCUUGGUGAUGAACAGCAACAUGGAAGUGUAAGCCGAAUAAACCCUUUCCUCCCCAACUUGCUUCUUGGUCAUGAUGUUUGUGCAGGAAUAGAAACCCUGACUAAGACAGGAAUACAGGGAACUUUAGAGGUCACCUGCCCAAGGCCACACAGCCAAGAAAAGUGGAUUUUUAGAUACAGAUCUUAAGUGAUGCCAUAACAAUUAGUAAUUUUAAAGUCUAGCACCAAAAUUCUCAAGAACACACUUUCUAUUAUCAGUGGUCCCUUCUGGCUAGGCUGUUUCCAAGGCUGGGCUCCUACUUUAGAUCAGAUGUCAGAUGCCUUAGUAGGUGCCUAAGGAGCCCCCAGUUUCUUUCCUAUCUUUGGAGAGACACCUUCACCUGCCGACACACACACACCUUGAGGCAGUUUUCCCAUCUAGUAACUGGGUGGGCUUGUAAGGCUGGCUACAGCUGGGACUCGGGUCCAGGCUGGGUGACUUAGUUAUGGGAGGGGCAUUGAUCCUGGAGCUCAGGUCUCCGCUCAGAAAGUUCUUCGCAUAGGAGGCAAGGUUUGGCACGCUGACCACUCGGCUGGGCACUUCCUCCAUCUUCUUUUUCUGUUUGUGUUAGAGGAAAGGUGUUAGCGCUUACCCCAGAAUAAAUGCAAAUAGGUCGAUGCCAAUAGGCUCAUCCAACCCAAAUAACAAGGGAAAGAAGUAACAAUCCUACUUGUAUACUAAAAUAUUGUGUUAAUGUUGGGGGAGGCAGGGACAGGUAUAUUAUCACACACCUUUCAUAGCAACACUCAGGAAGCAGAGGCAGGCAGAUCUCUGAGUGCAAGCCUCGCCUGAUUUACACAGUAAGUUCUAGACCAGCCAGGGCUACAGAGUGAAACCAUGUCUCAAUUGCUGUCAUUUUUUUAAUUGAUAAUUUUAUUGCAGUCCUGGGAAUGGAAUCCAGGUCUUCAAGCUUGCAGACAAUUGUUCUUGCACUGAGCUAUGGUCCCUGCCCUUCAAACCAUUUUUUUUUCUCCCAUCUUUAUUAUCGGGUUCAUUCAGUCUAGGUUUGUUACUUUGUGAGCUAUGAAAUACCGGUUCUUUUCAACUUUAGGGAUCUGGUGAUAGGAGAUGAGAGAGUCACUAUGAAGACCACAAGUAUUAUGGAGAGAUAAAGGGGAGUGGGAUAUUCUCUCCCAUCAUCUAGAUGGAGGGAAUACUAAUAGUCAUAAAGGUCAAGUCAGAACGCACCCUCUCAGUACUGUUCGCUAGCGCUGUAGACUACUUCUGGGUUUUCCCAGCGACUGUCCCACCAGCCCAUCAAUGCGCUGCUGCUGCUGCUGCUUUCAGAAGGACAGAUGUGCAGACUGUAUGAUGUGCUAAAAUUAAUUUACCUUCAUGGAAGGGGUCAAGUAUCCUGGGUGGGGAUUGAAAGAGAAGGACCGAUUCCGAUGGGACACUGCACUGGGGAAGGCUGCGUAAUGAAAUCUUCUCUCUUCCUGGAAAACCAAAGCAACCAGGUUUUAAAGAGCUUAGGCAUGGACCACUGGCUUUGUCUAGAUGGUGGCAGGACAGAAGACAGAAGAAGAGAAAGCCCUGGAGGAGGGUAGGUGAGUGGCAUCCGAGCAGGGCGUCACUGGAGCACGUAGGAAGUACCUUCCCCUCUGGCACCUCAUAUAACCAGCAAAGGGAAGGGCACAGUGCCUUAGCAAGUGAAAACAUCUAACUACACUGAGCACCUAAAAGGAAAAGCUAGUACAAAAGUUAAAAUAAUG
rnacentral:lncRNA from 1 species